rnacentral:rRNA from 1 species
AUUCCUACGGGAGGCAGCAGUAAGGAAUAUUGCUCAAUGGCCGAAAGGCUGAAGCAGCAACGCCGCGUGGAGGAAGAAUGGCUUUUGCUUGUAAACUCCUGUAUGAGGGGAAAAAAUCUCGCCUUUGGCGAGGAUGAUGGUACCCUCGGAGUAAGCCCCGGCUAACUACGUGCCAGCAGCCGCGGUAAUACGUAGGGGGCAAGCGUUGUCCGGAUUUAUUGGGUGUAAAGGGUGCUCAGGCGGAUUUGUAAGUCAGAGGUGAAAUCUCCCGGCUCAACCGGGAAACUGCCUUUGAUACUGCAAGCCUUGAGUUUGGAAGAGGAUGAUGGAAUAUCUGGUGUAGCAGUGAAAUGCGUAGAUAUCAGAUAGAACACCAAUGGCGAAGGCAGUCAUCUGGUCCAUAACAGACGCUAAAGCACGAAAGCGUGGGUAGCAAACAGGAUUAGAUACCCUGGUAGUCCACGCCCUAAACGAUGAAUACUAGACGUUGGGUCCGCAAGGAUUCAGUGUCUGAGCUAACGCAUUAAGUAUUCCACCUGGGAAGUACGAUCGCAAGGUUGAAACUCAAAUGAAUUGACGGAAU